rnacentral:rRNA from 1 species
CCUACGGGAGGCUGCAGUGAGGAAUAUUGGUCAAUGGGCGCGAGCCUGAACCAGCCAAGUCGCGUGAGGGAGGACGGCCCUACGGGUUGUAAACCUCUUUUGCCGGGGAGCAACGGGCGUCACGUGUGGCGCCACUGAGAGUACCCGGAGAAAAAGCAUCGGCUAACUCCGUGCCAGCAGCCGCGGUAAUACGGAGGAUGCGAGCGUUAUCCGGAUUUAUUGGGUUUAAAGGGUGCGUAGGCGGAUCGUUAAGUCAGUGGUAAAAUUGAGGGGCUCAACCCCUUCCCGCCAUUGAAACUGGCGUUCUUGAGUGGAAGAGAAGUAUGCGGAAUGCGUGGUGUAGCGGUGAAAUGCUUAGAUAUCACGAAGAACCCCGAUUGCGAAGGCAGCUUACUAAACUGUGACUGACAUUGAUGCUCGAAAGUGUGGGUAUCAAACAGGAUUAGAUACCCGAGUAGUC